ACGGAAACAGCUGGAGAAUCCUUGCUCUGCUUGAUUUAGUGAUAAUAGUCAAGUGACUUAACCUCUCUGGGGGGUGGAGAGAUGGGGAAGGAAUGAAGAAGCAUCUACUAUGUUCCAGGCUUUGUGACAAAUAUUGUCUCAUUUAAUCUUGAGGUUAACAACCCUGGACCGUAGAUGCUGUUAUCCUCAUUUUACAAAUGAGAAAAAUCGAGGCGGAAUGAUUUACAUAAAGUAAAACAGCUAGAAAAUGGCCCAGGCCAGAUUUCAAUUCAGAUCUUCCUGACUCCAGGCUCUGUGUUCUAUCUACAAUACCACCUGGCUGGCCUUCACUUUGCAUUCUGCAAAAUGAACCAUGCUAUAUCCUGCCUCCCUUAUGGCAAUGUUGUAAGGACCAAAUGAAAUAAUGUAUAAAACAGUGCUUUGGAAUUGCUAUGGCAAUGGCUAGUCAGAAUAUAGUUUUCUGAAUGACAAUUUAUUUCAGAAAUUUUUCUUUUUUUUCUUAAUAGCAGCUUCCUCUGACCAUGUCAAUCAAUAAAAAAGCCUUUCAAGGUACCUUUGAUUUGACUCUUGCCAUGUGAUCUAAAAUUGGCCUGUGAAAAGGGACAAGAUGUGGUUGAGUUCUCAGGGAGUUUGCAGACUUAGCUGGAGAGACAAAGCUAAGAUGAAGAAAAGCAGGCAAAAAUGAGGUAAGGAGGAGGAGGAGAGAACAGUAAUGGUCUUCCACCUAGAAGUCUGGACCCAUAGAGAGCACCCCUAAUUGGAAGGGAAAUGAGAGCGAGUUGUCACAAAAGUACUAGAUUUAGAGAGAAGAGAGAAUGUGUGGGAAGGAUUCACCUAGAAAUUUGGAUCCACUGAAAAGAAUGAGGUGACAUUGUAUCCUGGAUCACAGGCUCUGUUCAGUCUCACUGAGCAGCAUAGGACAGAAGGAUUCAGAGCUGAAAAGGGCCUUAAAAUGAAUAGCCCAGUAGGAUUCAAACCCACGUUAUUUGGUUUCCUAAUAAAAUGUUGCUUCUUUUGGAAAGAGAGCUUUGGUAAAGGCCACCCAAAUACUUUUCAGCAUUCACUCUCAUUAUAUAGGAUCUAAGCCUAGAGAUACUUAGAGCUGGGAGUUCAGAUUAGCUAAUCUGACCUUUUCCUAUCUUGCCAAAUGCUAAUGAUCUAUAGAGAUUGAUAAAAAGUUAAUUUUGUUCUUCAAAACAGUUUCUGAUUGUCUUUAAAGCAUUAAAAUAGGGCAAUUCCAUACCCCCAACCCAUUUCUUUGUACUUCCUAUCCCCACUUUAAAGAGCUGACAAAGAAUAAAUAUAUAUUUGGAAAGCAUAGAAAUAGAUAUUUGGAAAAUAUAGACAAAUAUGGAAAUAGUUAUUUGAAAAAAUGUGGAAAAUAUAUAGUCAGAAUUAAUUUGCUAUUUGUUUUCUAGACAACUAUUGCCUGAUCAUAAGUUUGCUUUUCUGAAUUCGUGCUGGUUGGAUUGUGGGAGAGGGUGUCCCAGGACUGAAAAAAUGAUCUGUGGCUAAUGAGAGAGAUGACUGGACAUUUUUUUCAGUCCACCUGCACAGUCUUGUCUCUGGUUUAAUUUACUGCCUAAUCUGAUUCCUUUUGGAAGCAUCAGAAAUGUAACAUGCAGUUUGACAUACCCCACAAUCAUUCACCUCUGAUGAUGUGAAAAAGGGCAGAUGCCAUCAAAAAUACCAAUUCCUUUUUUGAUGAAACUUUCAUUGGGUGAGGUUUUCUGGGGUUCCUGGUCGUGACUUGGGGAUAUAAAAAUAAAAGAAAGGAAACUAGUGUCUGCCCCCUUUUUUUAGGGCUCAUGCAUGGCGGUGAUGACGUCAAAAUAUUUUCAAAGAUGAAAACACAGCUGUUGGGUUACUUGCAUUACAGCUGAUUUUCUCGUAUGCUUAAAAUAAAGGUGACGCCUAGAAGUCCUAUGGAAACACAUUCACACCUUGUCAGUUAAUGAGUCGUGAGUCUGCAGCUUCUUAGCAAUCUCAGUAACGUUCUAUAUUUUGAAAGAUAUAAAUAUUGGUGAUGUCGUAGCAGGUGUUGCUUCUCAGCUGGAUCUCAGUACAAGGUUGACACCAUCCUUCUUCCAAAAAAUAAAAACCCUCAAAAAAACUCAAACCCACACACAAGCACUAGAUUUCUUUUCUUAAAUCGUAGAGUGUUUGGGCUGGAACAGCCCUUUGAGCUCAAUCCCCCUAAUUUUUUAGACAUGAUAGCACAUAGAGAAGGUAACACAGCUAGUGUAUGGAAGUCUGGGGCUACAUAGAAGUAGCUGCUAAAUCCUGGGACCAUAUGCCUUCCAUCAUACAACGCUGUGUUCCCCAGGGCUUUAGGAAGCAAGAUACCAAGAAAGUGCAAAUUGACUUGGAAGCUGCAAGAAAGACUGGUCUUUGUAGUAGGUAGGAGGCAGGGGCAGGGAGUGAGGAGAAUUUCUCUUCCUGCUUUCCUCUCAUGAGAUAUUUUGUGCAGACUCUAAGUAUUACUUAGAGCUUCUGAUUAAAACUCCCAACCUGUUUAACUAGUUGGAGAGUGGCCCAAACAGUAUUUUAUUGUCACGAAUGAGAAAAUAAACACCAUCAGAAAGGAAGUGAGUGUUAAAUCACAAACUGUACAUAUAAUACAGUUGUAUUUUGAUUUGUCUACUAUACUGGCUGUUCCAUAAACAUAAAACAUAAAAUGGGUUGUUCCCAAGCCCAUUAUGGAUAUUUCAGUGUGCCCAUGAGCCAAGUAACCCGUCUCACUCUAUAUUGGGUGUGUCUCUGUGGGUUCCACUGAAUUCAUGAAUUCAGUAUUCAUUCUCUUUUAAAUUCUGAUUCUAAUUUCUGACUUAGUGGAUAGAGUGCUAUGCUUUAGGGUCAGGAAGAAGUGAGUUGGAGUCUCAGAGAUGAGACUAGCUUUGUGACUCUGGGUGAGUAAUUUAGCUUCUAUAUGCCUCCACCAACUUUUUAGCUAGGAAGUUAGAAGUUGGUGAAUUUCUUUACUGAUGAAUCAAUUCUACUUUCUUUUCCAUGUGGAAAAAGACCUUUAUGCUGGUGAGUCAAUCAACAAAUAUUUAGUAAGAGCCAAGAAUUCCUUAUUAGUACAUAUUUAUUAGGUACCUACUAUAUUCCAGGGAGAGGGUUAGACUUCAGGAAUACAAAGAUAAUUGAAAUAGUCCCUGCUGUCUAGGAAACUGCAUUCUGGAGGGGAAGACAACGUGUUCACAUAAAAGUAUAAACAAUGUAUAUAUAUGUAUCACAAAUCCUUGCAUGUUUCCUCAUAUCGGUUUGUGUGAGUAAGCAACAGUGGGGAAGUACAGCUAGGUGACACAGAACUUGGAGUGCUCUGGGAGGGCCUAGAGUCAGAAGAACUCAUCUUCCUGAGUUCAAAUAUGACUUCAGGCACUUGCUAGAUGUAUGAUCCUAGGCAAGUCACUUUGCCCUGUUUGACUCAGUUUCCUCAUUUGUAAAAUCAGCUGGAGACAGAAAGAGGGAAUGACUCCAGUAUUUUUGCCAAGAAAACUCCAAGUAGGGUUAUGAAAAGUCAAGCAUGACUGAGCAAUAGCAACAAUGAAUUUUAAGGAAAUUUGGGGGGUUUUCUCUGCCUGAUUGACUCUCCACUUGGGUAUUCUUGACUGAAAAAUCUAUAAAAGACCAGCUAGAUAUGAGAUUUUUGUCAUACUGUCUAUGUAUUGGAACUUAUUAGGUUCUUGAUAAAUGUACAUCAAGAUUCCUUACAUAUGGGUAACACUUUCAACUCUAAAGUAUUCCACAUUUGCUUUCUCAAUCUUGUGAAGUAGUCAGGGUAGCUGUUAUUUUCCUAGAUGAUGAAAGAGGACCCAAAAGAGUAUAAAGCACUGUUUCAAGGUCAUACAGUUGGUAGCAGAACUGAGAAUAGGAUUUUCUGAUCUUUUGAGAAAGGAUCUUAAAAAAAAUAUUAAAUUCAUUUGUUUUCAACUAGACCAUAUUUCAGAGGAUCACUUUUGCUAAUAUGUUGUGGGAGUAGUCCUACCUUUAAUUCAAUGAAAGUUUGCCAAGUAUCUUCUAAGUACCAGCCACUCUGCUCUGCAUGGGAGAUACCAGUUGCAAAUUAAAUAAACUCUCCCACCCUGCCUUUUUUUUAAAAAUGAAGUUGGCAAGUCUAGAAUUUUCGAUGGAAUACUCACCCUUAAUUAUUAGAGGGAAUUUGAGCUCUGACUCAUGCCUGCUUGCUCAUGCCAUCCCUGUUUCUGAGUCCCACAGCUCAAAAGGGACUUGGAAAACUUGGAUAGAGCUCAGAGAAGAGCUGGAAAAAUAUGAAAGGGUUGGAACAUAAACCCUAGAGAAGAGAGGCUAUAGGAAUUGAAAAUGUUUGCCACAGGAAUGGUGAGAUGGAUGUUAAUUUUAUAAUAUUUCAAUUCAUAGUCUCACUGAAUUUUUGGAUUAGAUAGAAUCUUCGUGAGGACCUAAUCCAUUGGUUUUCAAAGUGGGGUCUGCAGACCCUUGGGAGUAUCCAAGACCCUUUCAGAACAUACUUGAGGUCAAACCUACUUUCAUAAUUAAUACUAAACUGUUUUAAUUUCUAAUAUGGUAAAUAUUUAAAGCUAUAACCCACCCAAACAAAAGCUUUUUUGGGGGGGUCCUCAAUUUUAUAGAUCAUUUUGGAGGGUCCUCAAUAAUUUCUAAAAGUGUCCUGAGAUCAAAAGCAGGAAAAUAACAUUUUCAACAUUAUACAGUGAGUUAAUGGUAGAGUUGGAACUUUAAAAAGAUCCAGGUCUUUUGAUUUCUAGGUCUGUGCUUUCCCCUCUACACCUCUAUCUCUAUUUUAGUUGGUGUUUUUGAGUUCCUCCUCUGCUGAGAAGCAAUGUAGCCAAUAGUAAAAAAAAAAAAAAAAAAAAAAAAA